rnacentral:lncRNA from 1 species
AUGCAUCUUCCUUAUCAUUAAAAGAUUUAUAUCGCAGGACAUCUCUAUUUAUGCACAUCUUUUACAGAAGUAUCCGAUGCUAUUCUAGAAACUUUUAUAAAUUCAAAUAUAAUAGAGGUGAAUUAUUGAAAAUUAAAUCCAAGUGUGUGCUUAAAAUUCAAGCGUCUGAUGCUAAAAACCAAAUAAAUAAUAAAUAAUUGAAAGAUGAGAUUUUCAUUGAAUAAGAUAGUUAGGUGACCGAGCAAAAGAGACCAGCGCACAUCGUUAGCCGAUAGUGGUGAUUAUCAAACCAAACAGUCACCAUCGUAUCCAACAUGAACUGAGAUGCAACACCAAUUCAUUAUCAAUACAGUGAUUCCCUUUUUGCUAUAACAAAUUUCUCAUCACACAGAUCGAACUAUACAUAAACAAGCAAAUCAAACAACCAUACACAAUAAACACCAAGUUCAAUCACAUGAUCAGAGCGCCAUCAUUGAAAGCGAGUGAAACAUUUCCACCUGUUCAUUUUGCAACGCAUGAUCUGACUGUGAAGAAGUUGAAUCAGAAGUGGUGACAGUAGAAUAUAUUGGAAAGAUUAAUCUUAAAGCACGUUCCAUUCUUGCUAAAUAGGAAACUUGAGGUUCACUAUUGAAAACUAUUUGACCUAAUCGAAAAAGAAACAACCUCGAUUGAUAAAGUGCUUCAUGUCUAAAGAAUCUGAAACCCAACAACAACUUGAACACCAAUAUGAUACUCAUUGAAACACCAGCUACUGCAGGUGCUGCUGGCUGUAAAUGAAGCAUCAAUGGAGUCACCAUAAUGUGCAGUACCAUUUUUGAGUUUAUGUGCAAAAUGAGUAUUCAAGUUUUGGACUUAUAAAUAGUCUAAUCAUUAAAAUUUAAUUUUGUCUAAUCAUGCUUUAUUAUUUUAUUUUUAUGGAUAUAUAUAUAGUAACAUGGUUUAUUAAAUUAAUGCUGUUUGAAAAAGACAAAGUUGAGAUAAAUGUGUAAUUUAAUAUUAUGCUCUA